AUGUGUGUGUGUGUGUGUGUGUGUGUGUGUGUCUGUAUAUAUGUGUCUGUAUGUGUGUGUCUCUGUAUGUAUGUGUCUGCAUCAUACAGACACAUACAGACACAUACAUACAGACAGACACACACACACAUACAGA
rnacentral:miRNA from 1 species